AAUAAAGACAUGGAGGUGCUUGAAUUUGCUUGUGGGUUUCGUGUUAUAAUUAUGACAA
rnacentral:sRNA from 22 species